AUCUCCUUUUCCUUGGAAAUUCCUUCUCAAAGCUUCAACCAGCCCUGCUGGGCAGCUGAGUGGGACACAACAGUGGGGAUAUCUUGGGUCCACAAGCCAGGGGUCUCUGGGCUUGGUUCCCAGCUCAGCACCAUCUCUCUCUGCCCGUGGUUUCCUCUUCUCUCAAACAGGGAUGAUACCUUGUGUGUGGAUUAAAUGAGAUCACGUGGGAGAAAUGUUUACCAUGGUGCCUGGCAAAUUGGAAGAGCCAUCCAUCCAACAUUGAUUGACUACAACCUGCAGGCACUGGGAUGUGAUUGGAAAGCCAGCAACCUGGAAACGAACACUGGGCGCAGACACAAAAGCCCGACAAAAGCCUGCUCUCUCGAGCCAAAGGACCAGAAAAGGGGCAGCCUAGCAGGACAGAAAACUGGUAGACAACACCUGCUCCUCUACAGC
rnacentral:lncRNA from 1 species